ensembl:lncRNA LINC00343 long intergenic non-protein coding RNA 343
GAAUUCUACAAAGAGGCUAUGGGAAAGAAACCUGGAAAGUACCCUUGGCUGUGUACAUUUGAGUAAAGAGAGCACUAUAAAAUCAAAAACCAAUGAAAUGGUUUCCAGAACACAGAACUAUUAAGCUUAAGAAAAGGACAGAAGGAACUGAAGAGAGAGGAACUGUUUUGGAGCAUCACACUUCCACCUCAGAAGAAAUAAGGAAGGAAGGAGGAGGGUGUUCCCACGGCUCUUCAACCAGGCCGGCUCUUCAGCCUACAUCCCCAUCUCAUCAAGUAAAAGGGAUUUUUCAACUGGACCAACCAGAUGGUUUAACAGUGCACUCCCACACCAUUCAACUACGCAAGGGAGAUACACUUAACAUAUGCAGUCGUAUAACACCUACUAACAUUUUCAAACAUUAAACCUUUAAAAAAGAGUUCUAAAGAAAUAGAAGCUUGAAGUAUCAUCUCUCAAGUAUAUAGACACUACUUCAUGGUGUGGUAAUAUAUGCAUAUAGAAGCUAGUAAACACCUCCAGGAGAUGCAAAAGGAAUUAGAACUGCCACAAGGUGCAAGCAAAACCUUGAGGUAAUCAAUCUGCAUCCCAUUUUGGAUGAGAAUAUUUGCAACUUUGAAGGUUAUUUUAAGGACAGCAGCAGAAGAAUUAUGGCAGUUCUGUUUUUCCUCUUCUAAUCCUUCACCCAUCUGAGCUAAAGUCUAGACCUAAGGAGGCUACUAAUUCAGGGAUCGAGUAAUCUGCCAAGCAAGAGUUUAUUCAAGCACAGUUUGAAAUAAAGGUUUCAAAUGCAUAGCCUGUCGAUACUUUGGAAGGAUUCUCAUCAUAACGAGUAUGCAAUUUGCUAUAAAGAAGAAUGCCCAUUACGGACUAAAUGUUUAUGUCCUCCUAAAAUUCAUAUGUUGAAGGCCUAACUCUCAAUGUGAUGAUUAUGUGGAGAUGGUGCCUUUGGGAGGUAACUGGGCUUAGAUGUGGGCGUGAGGGUGGGGCCUCAUGGUGAAAUUUGUGCCCUUGUAAGAAAAACACACCACAGGUUUUCAUUCUUCCUCUGCCACAUGAGGCCACAGUAAGAAUGUGACCAUCUGCUAGCCAGGAGGAAAGUCCUCACUGGAACCCGCCCAUAAUAACACUCCAGUCUGGGGCUUUUCAGCCUCCAGAACCAUGAGAAAUAAAUUUCUAGUGUUUAAGUCA